GUUUCGACAGUCAUCAACUGAACACAGAAGCUACGAUCUACCUCAGCUCUCCCCGUGACCUUUGCUCAAGUCUCUGCUGAUAGCCAGAUACAAACUGUGGGCAAGUCAGCUGGCUCUGAAAAGACAGCUUCCCACAAGAACACAACAAAAUAUCGUGCAACAGUCUGCUUCCAAUGGCAUCUACUCAAUGACUUUAUGCCUUCCGUGAACCAGGAACAUCACAUUUGAGUUGACUUCCUGUAUGGAUCUAUGCAUGUGUGAUUCUUAGAGCAACAGUGGUUAAAAGAACACAUGGGACUGUCUUGUUCAUUCAUCUCCAGGAAACAGUUUGUAAACUCCAACUCUCCCAUUAUGGAAUCCAGUAGUUUCCAGGUGACCUUUAUAAAUAUUGAAGAAUUUAGUGUUUGGCUUAAUUUAAAAUGCCUUCAAGUGAAGCCAGGCGGUGGUGGCGUACGCCUUUAAUCCCAGCACUCGGGAGGCAGAGGCAGGCGGAUCUC